CCAAAAGUCUUCUCCCAUAUCUAAUCUUCUUGGCUGCACCAGACAAGAAAGUCCAGCUCCUUUACUUCUUUCUCUGUUCCUCUUUCUUUGCUCUUCUUUCUCUCUUCUUCCUUUGUUCUUACAUGGCAGCCCUCCCUCUAUCACCAAAGAAAAAUAUCUCUCUCUAAAGAAGAAAGUAAAGAGUUAACACUAAAAUUUCAACUUCAAAUUGUUUGGGGUGUUACCAGUAUCCAAGUCUAAGAUCCUUCGACUUUAGGCUCUCGAUUCCUCUGCUUUCAGUUAGCAGGUUUUAUUUUGGUGCAGAGGGAGCCUUAGUCGAGUUUGGAAGGAGUUGGUUUUAGUUUUAUAAGUAUAGAUCCUAAAUUAGCAUUCUGACGUUUAGCUUUAUAGUCAUUGUGUAUUGUAGGAUCAAAUGAAAGUUGUGUACCUUAAAGUAUUAAGAGAUGUAUUAUGUAAAAGUAUGGAAAUUAAAUGACUGGUGGAUUAUGUUAUAUUUUGAGUAUGGUGUAGAUGCUCUGACUAUCAAUUGAAAAAUUAUAUCAAGAAGUAAAGAAACAA